AUGUUUGGGAAGAAUAUGUCUAGAUAUUUUGAAAGAUAAGUGGUCUCCAGCCUUGCAGAUCCGCACAGUGCUGCUAUCAAUCCAGGCAUUACUAAGCGCUCCCAACCCUGAUGAUCCUCUAGCAAACGACGUUGCAGAACAGUGGAAGACUAACGAAGCUCAAGCCAUAGAGACAGCCCGAACAUGGACCAGGCUUUAUGCCGGAAACAAUAUAGAAGUCUAGAAAUUUGUGUGGGGAGACAAAAAGAGAAAAAAAGGAAGUCAAGAGUGAACACAACUCCAUGUUCUGCCAAGACCUAUUCAUUUUCAUGUAAAGGACACAGUCUUAGGAAACAAAAAAUUGAUAAACUGUAAAGAAUAUAUUAACACAAAAGUAAAAAGAAAACUUAAGACAAUUUGUGAUUUAAAUGCACAUUAGUACAACAAAAAAAUGUCUUUGUCCUGAUUCACCGCUGUUGAGAUGCAUGGGCAGAUCGACUCGUACGGCUUUCUUUUACAGUGGUUGGGGAGGUAGCCGCAGACUUCUGCUAUGAAGCGUGCAUUAAAACUGACUGUCAUUUGUCUGUCCCCUUGUUUUUUUUUUGUGGGAGGGGGGUAACUUUUUAUAUUUCUUUUAACCUUUUUUCUUCUCAUUGCUCUGUGUUAAUGAGGAGCAGCAGACUAGCCCGUUUAGAGCACCCUUUCUGUCAAACUGCAGACUUACCCUGUUAGGAAACCUAGAAAAAAUGUAUAGGUUCACUAAAACGAAAAAGAGAUGCAAGAUUUAAACCACAUGCAAACAGUAAUUUCACCUGGGAAAUGGCUCAACUGGAAAGUCCUUCCACCAUCACAGAAACAUUUAAAGAUGUAAACCCUAAUGUAGACUUGAUUUGUGUUUUGGAUUAUGGGCAAGGUAGAGCUAGAGUGAAGGAAGAUUUUGCGUAAUAUUUCUUUUAGCAUAACAAUUCUGUUAAUGUAUCCGGUUUUAGUGUUUUAUGUAUCUUGCCAUCGCUGUACUAAUUGCACUCUUGAAACUCCGUCAUUGCGUGCUUUUUGUUUUCUCGUGUCCAUCACAGUCCAGUGCAUUGAGAUUCAUUUGUCUGUUUCUUCCCUUAAGCAUUUAUUUCGAUACGCCGUGGCUGCAGGGGAGCUGGAGACGAAUGAUGAAUAGUGAGAUUUUAGUAAAGGGGUGAGGGGUGGGAAUGUUUGCAGAAACAUUGCAAAAGAUCAGUAAAGGCUUUGUCUCAA